GUUUGAGAACUGAAAGAGUCGGCUCUUCUUGGUGAGCUAAGCUGAAUAAUCCGGCUCACUAAAAAGAGCCGUAAUUCCCAUCACAAACAUGAACUACCAAGCACUUAAUUUACAGUACAGACAUCCAGAGAAUCCCAUCCACAUACAGAAGUUUUCAGUCGAGUACAACAUGUGAAAAGUUUGUCAAUUGAUGGUUUAACGGCGUCAAAUCACUGGAGGCGAGUUCGCAUCCGGUGGAGACACUUUUCUAUGAUCCUGAUAAAUCCAGGAGGUCAGGUUCUGUUUGCUCUGGCUGAUAAAUCAACCAAGUUUCCAUCCAGCGGUUGAUUUAAUAUCAGCAGCUUUAAGUUUAAGACCAAAUAUUUUCCAUUGCUGUCUACAAGGAUAUCGAUCAAUUUGAUGGAAGAGGUAGAAACCUUGAGCAGGACCAGACUGCAUCAGAUUUAGAGAGGAGACGGACAGAGACAACAACCACUCAGACUGACGCUCGUAGUUGAAAAGUUGAAACGUUUUCUGCGACUCGACAGAAAAACACGCUCGCUGGACUUUUUCAGAGAAGGGUUAAUGGGCCGCAUGUUAAAGCUCAUGGGAAACGCAUCGCCGACACGCCAGGAGGCUUUCCUCACAUUGAUGGAGAGGGGGAUGAGAAGAGGAGGAGUGGGGGGGUAGAGAGCAAGGUUCACCGGUUCCCAAACUCCUGCAGAGCUUCAGUAGCCUCCACUGCCCACCCUGAAACUCCUCUCACCCCUCCUGUCUCUCCUCUUUCUUCCCCUUCGCUGCCCUCCAGCUCCGCUCUCCUCUCCUUUUUUCUCCUCCUCUUUUGUCCGUCCUCCCCUUCACUAAACACUCUCACCUCCUGGCCUUUAACACCUCCUCCAGGCCUCUCUGUGUUGUGUUAUCAUCCUCUCCUCCCCCCCUCGUCUCUCUUUUCCGUUUCGCAGCUUUUGUCGUAACAUAUAAUCAAAAUAAUCCUCCGUACAUCCUCAUGUGCGUCCGCGGGGGGGCCCCGGGUUUUACUGUACACUGUGAAUUACAUUAGAUCUGAGAGCCUGCUUUCUGUCUCAGGGUCAAUAUUGACUUUGUGGAAAAGCAGCAAGGUGGGAGAGAGAGAGAGAGAGACAGAGAGAGAGGAGGAGAGUCUGUUUGGGUGCCCCUCGUCUGUACAUUAUUGAAACUGGCCUCCUCUCAAAAUCAACAAAAAUCCAAAUUUUCUUCCCUCUGAAGAUUUUCGCUCUUAUUUGUUUAUAUACAGAACAAAGAACAACUUGAAAACUGACCAAUCUAAAGAACGGCAGAUCAUCCGUAACAGAAAACACGAAGACUAAACAAAUUCGGAGCUCAAGGGCGUGUGUGUUCGGGUACGUAAUCCUGCAAAUAUUCCUGCUCAUCAAUCAUAAAGAUCCUUCACGUUAACUUAUCUUCAUCGUCUCUCCUCCGCGGCGCAGUAAUCCGCCUGUUUUCAGCGGUUUGUAGAAAGUUCUGGGUGAUAAAUAAGCUCAGAAAUAUGUGGCACUGAUUACACGCUGGUUUUUAUGGGCGAACAUAAAGUGGAAAGAAGACAGCGACGGAUGGACUGCACCUCGAAUUCUACUUUAAGGUGCAGGAGGAGGAGAAGCGAGGGCCUGAGAAAGAAAACUAAUCAAGCUGGGAAAUCUGUCUCUUGAGGCCCCACUGUGCACAAAUCACACGCAUCAAAACACACAUGCAGGCACGUGCACACAAACACACUGGGGGCCAUACGUUCCCCCGAUGUUGUCAGGCCCCGUCGUCUGUCUACAUCACGUACGAGUUUUGGCAUGCAGCCUUCCUCCGGGUGACAAAAAGCGCAGCCUUUUGUGUCGAGAACUAUUUCUCACAUCCCUACCUGGCCCCUGCAGGCCUGUUUAGAGGUGCAGGCAAGCAAAACCACACACACACACACACACACACACACACACACACACAGUUUCCUGAAAGUUUUUCUAAGAGCUGAACUUACACUUCCUCCUCACAUUGUGUGGGUUUGUUUUUUGCGCUGAGCUUCAUUUCUGUGUGAAGGUGUUAAAAUCUCCCUUUAGCAUGAACUCUAUACUGAACUGGUUUAAGUAACAUAAUGGGGACUUGUUUCCAGCACAGCGGGGGGUCCCGAGAUGUGGGCCGCACAUGUCUACUGAGUCAACAUGAAAUCGAACGAGCUUCAAACUCAAAAAACAGUCUGAUCUGGAGAGAUGAUCGAUGUUUUCUGAUACAUCAUUAUGACAUUUGUCUGUUUCUUUACAUGCACGGUGAAGUCCACUGUGUUCGCCAAGACUAGGGUGACCAUACGUCCUCUUUUUUGGGGCCUGUCCAGGAGUUUAUAAAAUCCUUCAGAUGUCUGGAGUUUGUGUAGUGUGGGCUAACCCCCAAUUUCCACUGCAUCCAGAACAGCUACGAAAGUCUGUAUCCGCAUUGAUCGCAGCUGAUCGUAACCAAUCAAGUUAACGUGUCAAUUUCCUCCGGCUUCUUUCCGUUCCUCUGCGGAUCGCCGGACUCCUCAGCUGAUCUCAAGAGUUCUAUUUUUUCCGGACGCCGGAGCAUGGUGGAUAAAUUCAGCACAGAUUAACCCGUGCUGGAAAGGAAGUUGGGCACAGACACAAAAUAAAACAUCUGACUUCUUUUCAAAGUGGAGACAAACAAGUGAAAGGUUUUUAGACGUCAUUUCACCCCGAUGACACCAUGGAUGAGGAGAUGCUGAUUCUAGAAGUCUAGAAGUAGAUUUCCUCCUCUGGAAGGACACAAUCUACUGCUCACAUGGUUAGUCUAUGUGGCUAAAGACAACUUGUUAUUGCACGAUUGCACGUGAAUUGUGUUCUUGUGAGUUCUUGAGAUUCCUGCUGUCCGUUAUCCAACAUGAAAUUUGCCUCACAAACAGAUCCGGUAGGAAUCGGCAUAUGUUCCGGAUGCGUUGGAAAUCCCAGGUAACUGAGUUAGAGGUGCAUAAACACACUCGACCCGACCUAAAAAACCAUAAAAAAUUUUGCACUGGAGGUUUGCGCACCCCAUGUAUGGGGACCACGGUCAUCAUAGUGGACACGGGUUCAAGUCCGGCCCGGACCAUAUGUUGCACCCCCUCCCACCACCACCACCCCAUGUCCCCACAUUUCACCCUGUACUAUCAAUAAAAGGCAAGUCCCCAAAAAAGUACAGAAAAUAAAAAAUUGCUGUUAUUGGGACGUCUCAUGUAGCCAAUCAAAACUACGUCCUAAGAUGAAAACAUCGUCACUUUUACAGCUCUGUGACGUUUGUUUAGAAAGUUUCAUCUUUUUUUUUAAGUCUUUUCUUCAUCUGUGAACAGUUUAGUUUUCUUCAUCCACGCUUUUUAACUUCCACGGAGUACGAGCGCUGCAGCAUGUGCAGAAUACUCAGUCUGAUUUCAGCUCCGUUGAGUCGUCUGCAUGCAUGAGAUAAUUGAUCACACCUGGAUGAUCCAGGGAGGUUAGCUCGAUUAUCAAAAGUUCAUUUUAGAGUGAUGUCAGUUAUUUGUUUUAAACAUGCAAAAGCACUUAGAGGUUGUGCGUACUGUACGUUGUGUGUAAACGCGCCUCUCUUCACUCGUAUAUUCCUCUGCAGUAAACUCAGAAGUUCCUGCAAACUGUUAAUCCGAGUAUUAACUAUAAAACAACCGCCGCUGACUCAACCGCUGAGUCAGGAGUUGACUCACCACAUGACUCAGCGGUUAAGUCUCUCUAACAUUAGCGUCACGCUUACAGUUAUGAAAUCAGCUGUCUCACUUUUGGACGGACGAUUCUUAAAGUCUUGAGUUUGUCAAAGUCGUUUUUUUUACUUCCUGUAAAAUAUCUUCAUGUCAAACUCACAACUGGUCGUGUCCUUCAAGUAUCCAGACAGGAAGUGUUACUAAACAAGACGCCGCAUGAAGAUUUAUGCAGGUGAUCAACGAUUACGGCUUAAUAUUCAUCAAAACAGACGACAAAAAUAAUUUUAAAAAAUCCAGAAAUAAGUCAAAGUCAAAGGUACCACCGUCCACCAUCUUUGUUUUCCUCUUUGCUAACUGCUGCUAAUGCUGCUGUGGUUUGUCAUUAUAGUAAGAACAGGAUCUCCUCGUGGCGGCGCAGAUUUACUCAGUAUUCUUCAGGAAGCUGCGACCAAAAACCCGGCCCGGUAUUUCACACACACUCGCGUGGUAACACUCACAGGGGUCAAGAGGAGAGCAGCGUAAGUGGCGAGCGUGUAUCGCUGCAGAAGCCCGUGUUUUUCUAAGUGUGUGUGCGCGUGUGUGUGCUGUAGGUGGUAAAGUUAACAUCCUCGUGUGCUGGAGAGGAAAACAGGCAUCCAUCAAACCGCCUGCCACUCCGGUUGGAUUUGAUUACUUCCUAAACCGCCGAUGGUUUGCAGGAAUAUUUGAGGUCUGACGCCGAGGUGAUUGCUGUUUCCGCCUCGACUGUUUACCUGCCCAGGAGAUGUUUUCUCUCCCCAAACAGGAAGGCCCAAUCAUGGGAAUAAUUGGAGGAUUUUUAAACUGAAGUGGGCGGAAAUAAACGAGCCAGAGGAUGUUUGAAAAACGAGGGCGAGGACGUCAGCCGUCGAUGACGCCGCCGGGCUCUUAAUUAGAAAACAUGUCGGACUGGAAACGGUCUCCCAUCUUUGUCGGACUCUCUCUUUGUUCGUAAACGGGGACUGUUUUGGUUGAUGGUGUUCACUGAGCAGACCCCUUCCUCACUUCAGCAGAGGUCAUGCGCGGGUCAGCGUAGCGCGGGGUCAGAAAGUAGUCCGUCCUCCCGCUGUGUCCUCAGCCAUGUGUAGAAUGUGGGUCAUCUUCAAAGACGCUGGAGUCUUAGCCUUCGACAUGAAGCACCAGCAGCUUCCAUGCAAGGUUGAACCGCAGCUGCAGGUCAAGAAGCAACGUGGGAAUCUGCAGGUUUAUUAUAACCUCUGAAUUUAUUAAAACAAACACUAAUCUUCUCUUUGACCGUGAAUUCUGACUGUUUUUAUUCCUCUUUUCGGUCAUUUAGUCUAUUUGCAGCCUGGGAUCUCUGGGAUGUAUGAACGCACUUUAACGGGGCUGUAAAUAAAACUUUCAUUGCACUAAAACACAUGAUGGCUGUAUGUUGUAAAGCUGCAGGUGUCUGAGCUCAUAGUUUCAACUCUGAACUUUAUAUUUCCACACCAGCAGCAGCAGCAGCAGCGGCGUCGGAGGUGGCAGAGCUGCAAAAAUAUGCGACAUGUUUGGGUUUCAUCAAUCAGGCUGUUUUCUCCAAAGGUCAUUAAAACUCCUCCCAUUAUCUGUUUGGUAAAAAUUUAUCUUUAUUUUGACUUGAUGGUUCGUCUUAGUGAUAUAAUCCAUCGCUCAGUUGAAGGGGAAGUAAAUCUUUUAUUAGGAAAGGAUCUCAGGGUGUUCGUACAUUUUAGGGAAUAACAGUUUUUAAAUAAACAGUCAUGUGACAUGUAGGGUGUCACGGAAGAGGAUUAGGGCCGAAUGAAGAGAAAAAAAUAAUUACAGGAAGGAGAUUAAAGUCGAAACUUCGAGAUUAAAGUCGACAUGAAUAAAGUUUAAAUUUCAACUUUUUAAAAUUUCGACUUUAUUCUCGAAGUUUCGACCUUUAUCUCAAAAUUGAAAUUAAAUAAUCUCCUUCCUGUAGUUUUUUUUCUCUUCUUGUGGCCCUAAUCCUCUUUCGUAGAGUGUUAGCAUGUGUACAUAAAAAUAAAAGAUAUUUAUUCAUAAUCAUUGAAAAAAAGACAUUUUUGAGCUUCAGACUAAAGUUUGGAUAAAAAAAUAACGUGGCUUUCUGCUUGUUUUUAACUGAUUGUACUUUUGUGCAUGUUCUGCAUUUGAGUCCAAGUUUCCCCAAGAGGACGAUCAAGUCGAGCGCAUCAUUAGCUCGAUAUCUUUAACAUCUUUAAUGUGUCACAGUGUUGUUUUAAGGAUUUACUGAGAUUUUUAUUUAGCGUUGAAAAAGUGUCAAAUAAGUUGAUUGUUGCAGAAUUUUCCAAAGUCAUACAGUGAGUUUACAUUCACUUAAAAAUGGAUUUAUUGCAACUGAACCUGGACUUCUAAAAUGAACUUUUCAUAGUCAGACUAACAUACCUGGAUAAUGCAGUUGUGAAUCUAUUUUCUCUGUCAUGUAAACAGCCCAAUCAGACUGAAACAAGAGAAACCGUUGAUACUUCUGUCACAAGCCAGAGAAAAAGGAACCAAAACGCAGACUGGAGAAGUUUAAUGAACAAAAAAGCAAAGAAAAAACAAAAAAUUCUUCAAAAAGUUCAACAAAAACACUAGAGAAGACGUGGACAGCAACAACAAUGAACCUGGAAGACAGGGACAGACAAAACGCAGGUGAGACUCGUGAGUAAUCAACAAAAGAAGGAAACUAAGGAAGUCAAACGAAGGAUUGACUCCUACAAAAUAAAACAGGAAACACUGAAAACUGAACUGAUGAAACCAAAUGGUGAAAAACAAAAAAAACAACAUGAAACAGAAACACGAGGGAGAAUACACGAGAAAUAAAACUCAGCUGCUCUGAGACGGAAGUAGAGCUGCACGGACGACCAGCUAAGAAGGCAGGAAAUAAACGGAAAAACUUGAGAGCAGAAGAUGAAACUUUCGUGUAAAAACGACAUCGUGUUAGCCUCCUGCUCACAUGUAAAGCUACCUGUUUUGAAAUGUAACACGUCGACGAGCUGAAACGGGAACAUCGCCACCUACGAAAUCAUGAAAUUAGCUUCACGUUUCUUUUGUUGCUUCUUUUUUGUGCUACUAUUUUCACGACUACGCGGGGGUGGAGUCACGGAGUCGAGCGUAGUUAAUUUUGAGAGUUUUUUGGGUUGGAUCAAGUGUUUUUUACGCACUUCUAACUCAGGUAGUCCACAGUUUUCAUACAAACCCUGGACAUUUGAAGACAAAGCCGGACAGCCCCCAAAAAAGAGGACAUGUCCGGGUAAAAGAGGACAUAUGGUCACCCUACUUUAAGAGCUAAAAAACAGACUCAGUGUGCAAAGACCUUCAGUCUCCUGGUUCUCUGGGAUCUGGAUUCCUCUUCCUAAGAAGACUCUCCGGUCUCCAACCCUCAGACCUGCAGUUUCACGUUUAACCCCCUCCUCAUAUCUGACGCAGCUCAAACAGUGGCAUCACCGUGUCAGCGGGAUCCGCUCCAAACAGUCUCCGGGGCGCCGAGGCGAGCAAAGUGAUGAUCCGGCCUCCUGAGGUUUAUAGAGUGCACUGUGAUAUCGUUAAGUCUGAAAGUAGACCACACAGAGCAAGAAAGGGUGUCUGUGUCCUCAUUAAAGCUUCGCCUGGGCAAACCAGAGACGGCCAAUAUACACACCAGAUAAGACAGUUAGCAGCUUGUUCAGAUUUACAGCUGCUAGCCUUGGGGAGCGCGAGGACGAGGGGUGAGGGAGAACACGAGUUCAUAUGUGGUUUAAUGUCUGGCAGGCGGAUGAACAAACUGCAGACAAUUUAAGGAUAUCGAGAGACGAGGGUUGAUAGACGGCGGCGAUAUUACAAGCGGUGAUCGAGAGCGAAAGGCCAGAGGUGUCAGAGCGGACGUAAAUCAGAGCGUCUGAGAGGAAGUAAAAGGAGGGAAACGGGUCGUGUAAAAAAGGAGAUCCUAAAUCAGGGAAAUUUAAAGCUUCAUUGGAGGAGACGUCAAAUUAAUGUGUUGCUACUGCUGCAACAACAAAAAACCCACAUCCCACGCCAUCAAUCAGGGAAACACAUCGUCAGAGCGGCCCGACACCAGCCCGGAGGAAACCGCAGCUUUCUGAAAACGCCACAGCGCUGCAUCAUUAGCAACCCCAGCUUUACGCCAAAUGUCAGAGUUUCUUGUCAGCGCCAGAAAUCAGCCUCCUCAUAACCUCGACUUGAUCCCUCACCCCGCUCUCAUAAAUAACCCUCCCUCACGAACGAGGGGUCAACACGGUCCCCUCUCUUCUUCACGUCUCUUCCCCCUCUCUCUCUCUCUCUCUCUUUGAUUUACGCUCGCCGUAUAAAAAAACGCGGGCGUCCUGCUCUGGAAAAACACGGCGCCUUAAUUUCUUUGAGUAAAUUUUAAGUGGCGCGGGCUCGUUUGGCGUGUUCAGUGUCAGGUUUUGCAGACUCCCCAGAGCGCGGGCCCACCUAGUGUGACUCUGCACCUCGUAAAGAAAUCAAGCCGGCUUUAGGGAACGGCGAGUGUUGGGUUUCACUACCGCUAGAAGCAGCGCUAACAAAGACAGAACAAGGCCGUUUAGCCACCUGAAAGAGGAUCCACACCCACACGCUGAGACGCUCCUCCGCUCGCCCCCUCAUGCUCUGCAAAUCCGCGCGCCUUUACUUCUCCUCGCUCACUCUGAGGAUGUUUUGAAGCCCGAUAGAAAGCACACAUUGUCUUUCUUCUUGGCUCUCGAAUACGUCCACAAAUACACCCACGCUUUUGUUUACACGCACACACCGCUUUUCCCCGCAGGACUUCUCCACGCCAAGUUACUGACACACAUGAAAUAACCGCGAAUGUCACAAUCGUCGAGACGAACCACAUCCGUUCUUUUUCGCUUAUUUCAAACGUUUCCAAACCUUGACCUUUCCUUUCUUCUUCUGAGGCCGAAAACAAGACGAUAUUUCACCCCGUGUGUUCCGUCCUGGAGGCAUCAGAAGAGGCGUUCUGGUGAUCGAGUUUCUUUAGUUUCCUCUCUCAGCGGGCAUUCGCUCCAUCAAAGUGGCCUGAAGCGAUCCCUUCCAGCUCCGGCAGCACCUUCUCCUGUAGGUGAUCCUGACCCCUGACCCCGAGAAGUGCAAAACAUGUCAGCUUCGAGAUCGUCCCCCUUUUUUUUUUUCCCCCGACCGCCUCACAAGUCGGUCGUUAUAUAUAUCCAAAAAUGUGUGUCAAAGUUUCAUAACGAUGAACAAUCAGGGAGGAAUUGGUGUCCACAAGUCUAAUCCUGUCUAAUCCGUGAUGCAACGCAAAGGUAGCACACUCGAACCCUGUGAGCAUCCAGGGUUGCUGGUUCCCUCUCUUUCCGUCAUGCAUGCUUGCAUCCCUGUUGCUCAGCACCACGGAGGAUCUGCAGCCGAUACCUCCUCCUGGUCCCCCUACAGACGUCUCUCUCUGUGAUUCCUCUCUGCAGACACAGCAGACUCUCACUCCUUAUUUCCUGUCUCUGGUCCAGCCAACAUCCAAUCUUGAACCCCCGUCAGCAGACCAGCCGCCUACUGAUCUUGGUUUUCUCUUGGCAGCCCGGACGACGCUUGUCUCGGUCCACUGUCCUCGACGAUGCUCCUGCUGCACUCCCUGAACCUCACAUCGGCUUUUCCUGCCAAUGACGCUCUGUUCCCUGUCCAGGCCGAAGACGAGGCCCACCCUGGACUCUGAUCGGCAGCCUGGCUCACCUCUGUCCCCCAUGUCAUGACCAUGCUAAGAAGCAGAAAACAACUUUGGUCCAGAGUCUGGAUUCUGCAGAAACACCUCUGUCCAUGCCUCUGACUCUGGAAUAAUGGAGCUCUGUUCCCUCGUCUGUAAGUGAGCUGGUUAAUCUAAGAUCAUGUCUGUGUUUCCUCCAGAUCAAAGUCUAGUUUACAAUCUGAGACACAUGCAGGACUACAGUCGACAAUUCUGGGUCCAGUUUUUGUCAUUUUUCUAACAUUAUGUAAAGAGACCGAGUCCAGAUCCCAUCCAGACACCUGUUCCCCCUAAAGCUGCAGGUUUUUCUUGCUUCGCUGAUCCCCUCCCUCCUCCUGCCAAUGUCACAGAUGCCAGCCUCCCGGUCAGCCCUCUCAGAGCCGACCACCUGUUCAGCUUUUCUGGCACCGGUCUCCAUCUCUGCUCUCUGCGAGUCCAACCGUCCUGCUUUUACCUCAGGCUAUUCCAUCAGUUGCCAUGCCCCCCUUACCCUAACUAGUGCUAAAUAUCAGCGUCAACGAACUGUUAUCAUGUGAUGAAAACAUAAAUACAGGAAACAUAAAUGAUGGUCUUGUGAUGAUAAUAUAACUAAAUAUGUAAUGCAAUAUUGUUGAUGGAAAAAUACAAGACUAGAUGUGGAUCACUAAAUAAAAACUGCUGAAAUUUCUCUUAUUUUCCUUUAACUAAAACGAGAUGAAAUUGUUUAGUCCAUGUUGUUGUUUUCUGUUUCCUCGGCUGUGCGUGUCCCUGCUCAGAUGCAGGUGAGUCUAAAAAGACGUCUCAAGGUCGUCCAUGCUGAACUCAAGUAAAUUAAGACACUGACGUAACUUCACUUUAUAUUUUAUAUUUCACUGCAUCAGUCGCCAUGUCUCCCUAACCCUAACCCUGACCCUCACUUUAACCCUAAACUUGACCCUAUCCCCUAACCCUAACCCUAACACCUAACCCUAACCCCUAACCCUAUACUUCAGGCUGUUACAUCAGUCGCCAUGCCUCCGUAACCCUAACUCUAACUCUAACCCCUAACUCUAACUGUAACUCUAACCCUAUACCUAACACUUGCUCUAACCCUAACCCUAACCCAACUCUAAACCCUAACCCAACCCUAGUCCCUAACCCUAAACCCUAACUCUAACCCCUAACCCAACCCGAAACCCUAAACCCUAACCCAACUCUAACCCCUUACCCAAUCCUAGCCCCCUAACCCCAAACCCUAACCCCAAACCCAACCCUAGUCCCUAACCCUAAACCCUAACUCUAACCCCUAACCCAACCCUAACCCUAACCCCUAACCCAACCCUAACCCUAACCCCUAACCCCAAACCCUAUUUCUAACCCCUAACCCAACUCGAACCCCUAACCCAACCCUAACCCCUAACCCUAAACCCUAACCCCUAACCCAACCUUAACCCCUAACCCCAAACCCUAACCUCUAACCCAACCCUAACCCCUAACCCUAACUCCCUAACCCUAAAUUCUAACUCUAACCCCUAACUCUAAACCCUAACCCCUAACUCUAACCCUUUACCUCAGGCUGUUACAUCAGUCGCUAUGCCUCCCUAACUCUAACCCUAACCCCUAACCCCUAACCCUAACUCUAACCCUAACUCUCUCUAGGUUACUUUUGUUUCCUCUGACCAGGAUGCCUCGUCCCAUUUUCUCAUUUUUGAUUCAGAUGUUGCUGCAAACUUACGACCUGAUUUCAUAACUCUCUGACCCCGUCCAACAAACCGUCUGUGCGUUGUCUUUAUUACUCACUCGUCUCGGGGGAAAUCAGCAGAUUUUAGUAAAUGAAAUAAGUUUUUAAUCAGAUUACUUUUCACAUUAUUUCUAACUUUUCUUCAGGGAAAUAGUUUUGAUGUAUUUUCCUGUAUUUGUUACGUUUUCGUCUCCAGGUUUUUACAUAACUUCAGCUGCUGUUACUGUGAAGUGGAUCUCUGCUUCAUUGUCUUCUCAUCCCUGACCCACCCUUCUUUGGGGUUGGCCUCUUUGUUCCUCCGCCGCUGUGACAGGGUCAGACACGCUCAUGGAAAAGUCUGACUCGGGUUCAGAUAGAGUGACCUCGACAAACCCUUUUUUGGUGUAACUUUAAAUAUUGAGUUGAAAUUUAAUGAUGGGGCAUUUCGGUUUGCAUGAAGCAGACUGUGAGGGGGGAAAAAAAGCUGCUUUCCUAUUGGCUGAUUGAAAAGUGCAUGUAGCAACAAGGAAUGCUUUGGCAGUGUUUGGACUCAUGGAAGAUUCCCACUGACACGUGUCUAGACACUUACACAGUUGACACACUAUAACACAAGUCAAUUAUUCUCUCCGGUUUGGGAUCCUGAUCCUCGUUUCCGUUUAUCAUAACGGCUCCGGGCGAAUCGGACUUUCAUAUGUUACAUAAAAUAAUCUGUAUCAAAGCUGCAGGAAGGACUGAACAUCCUGCUCUACUUUAAGUCGACUUUUUAAUAAUAAAGCUCGUCCGUGUUUUUUUUUUUUUUUCUCUGGGGCGGACAUAUUUAUAUAAACUCGUGUCUCGUGUCGCUCUCUGAACAAACACGUAUUUGGCCGUUAGCAUGUGACUGGCAGACAAAUUGCAUGAUGACACGUUCAUUGAUAAUUGCAGGGUUUCUCCGCAGUCUCAGGGCUGAGCCUCUCGCUCUCUCACUCUCUCGCUCUCUCUCUCUCUCGAAUUAUUUAACAUGCUCAGAGUUUGAGUGUGUGUAAAGGUGGAUUCGAGGAAGUGUGUCACUCUCCAGAUCACACCGUCCCCAUUUUUGCCCUUCGGACCGUGGUUUUGGAUCAGUGCCCAUGUCUGCAUGUGUAUAUAGGUGUGCAUGUACAUGUGUGUGUCCUUACAGUGAAUGUGUGUGUGUAUUUUAAUCUCACACUCUUGUGCUCAGGAAUGCAGUGAAUGGAGGAGGAGGAGGAGGAAAAGGGGGGGUUGUACUUUCUACCUGCUUCUUUUACCUGUCGGUUAAUUUCCAUGCUUUUGAUUACAGUGUAAACAUGUUUUCUGCUUUCCACGGCGCAUUAACGCCACAUUAAUCUCACGAAAUAUAUUAACAAUCCGCAGAGUGCUUUAGGCGGGGCGUCCUAACACCGCAUGUUUACAGAAUCGAGAGGUUUAUGACGCAAUUGUGAACCGUGUUGCAUUUUAUGGGUUAGGCUCUUUUGAUGUUAAGGGAGUAAAUACUUGUGGAGUGAGUUCACCCAGGCCAUGCCUCACUUACACGAUUCCCCAUGUGUUACACGGUCCGGCUGAGCUGAGAUUCAUCUACAAUUGUAAUAAUGUGAAUAAAAAAGGGAAAAAAAGCGCAUAGCCAACACCGAACUUCAGAGGUGAAAGCAAGGUCAUCCACACGUGUCAAAUCAGCUCGGAGGAAACAUUAAUCAUGAGAGGAAGGGCAGAAGGAAGGGCAACACAUACAUAUACGAACAACAGAGCGACACGGUUAAAGAGAGCGCCAAUAACAUCAGGAGUUUCUUUUUUUUAGGGCAGCUGGGUGGUUACAAAAUGCAGGAUUUUUAUCCGUGUUAAUUCUGUGCAGCAGAAUGAAAGGAAACCUUAAAGGGAUGUUCCGGUGUAAAAGUAAUUUAGGAUCAAACACAUCAUAACACUGAGUAAGACACCCCCGUCGAGAGAUGAAUGUUGCCGACUGUUUGCUUCUCUAGUUAUACCAACUUUAGUAACGACCGCAGGAUAGCAAUACAGAGAGCCACGCGCUCAACCUAAACGCCACUCUA